rnacentral:tRNA from 1 species
GCUUUUAAAGGAUAAUAGAC